GACGUAGGGCGCGAGCGUUGUCCGGAUUUAUUGGGCGUAAAGAGCUCGUAGGCGGCUUGUCGCGUCGACUGUGAAAUCCCGCGGCUCAACUGCGGGUCUGCAGUCGAUACGGGGCAGGCUAGAGUUCGGUAGGGGGAGACUGGAAAUUCCUGGUGUAGCGGUGAAAUGCGCAGAUAUCAGGAAGAACACCCGUGGCUAAGGCGGCUCUCUAGUACGGUACUGACGCUGAGACGCGAAAGCGUGGGGAGCGAACAGG
rnacentral:rRNA from 1 species